rnacentral:misc_RNA from 1 species
UAAGGUAAACUCAAGCUUCUCAUAUAGGAUCUCCGCAUAUAUUGAUUGUACAAGGGAAAAGAAAAAGGGAUAGAGAACAGAGAGCUGGUGCCCUGAGCCACAAUCUGAGCUGGUGGGCAAUAGCUUGUUAAAACAUUUAUAUGUAUUAGUACCUGGCUAUUGCAGUCGAGUUGUGCUUCAUUACUGUCAUUAUGCUUUGGCCUUUUGAGUUGUCAUAAAUGGAAGACAAGUAUAUUGCCAAAGCAUAAUGACAGUAAUGAAGCAC